rnacentral:rRNA from 1 species
AUUGAACGCUGGCGGCAUGCUUUACACAUGCAAGUCGAACGGUAACAGGCCUUCGGGUGCUGACGAGUGGCGAACGGGUGAGUAAUGCAUCGGAACGUGCCCAGAGGUGGGGGAUAACGCAGCGAAAGCUGUGCUAAUACCGCAUGUGAUCUGAGGAUGAAAGCGGGGGACCAGGCAGCAAUGUUUGGCCUCGCGCCUUUGGAGCGGCCGAUGUCAGAUUAGGUAGUUGGUGGGGUAAAGGCCUACCAAGCCGACGAUCUGUAGCUGGUCUGAGAGGACGACCAGCCACACUGCGCCUGCGCCACGCCCCAGACUCCUACGGUAGGCAGCAGUGGUGAAUCUUGGACAACGGGCGCAAGCUUGAUCCAGCAAUGCAGCCUGAGGGAAGAAGGCCUUCGGGUUGUAAACCGCUUUUGUACGGAACGAAAAGGCUCUGGCUAAUACCUGGGGCUGAUGACGGUACCGUAAGAAUAAGCACCGGCUAACUACGUG